rnacentral:rRNA from 1 species
UACGAAGGGGGCUAGCGUUGCUCGGAAUUACUGGGCGUAAAGGGAGCGUAGGCGGACAGUUUAGUCAGAGGUGAAAGCCCAGGGCUCAACCCUGGAAUUGCCUUUGAUACUGAUUGUCUUGAGUAUGGGAGAGGUGUGUGGAACUCCGAGUGUAGAGGUGAAAUUCGUAGAUAUUCGGAAGAACACCGAUGGCGAAGGCAGCCAUCUGGACCGACACUGACGCUGAGGCGCGAAAGCGUGGGGAGCAAACAGG